UGCUUUCCAAAUAUUCGAAAAAAAGAGAUACCAUAAGAUUUUCCAAAAACAAUACAAAGAUGAUUGUGGCAAAUAAAUCUCUUAACUAUUGUCACAAAUAGUAUCAUUAUUCACUAAGUUAACGAAAUGAACACGUGAUUCUACUAUGUCAUCAACAAAUCAAGUUGGAUCCAAGUUUUUGUGACUCUCAAAAAUAAGAAUUUAGAGUUUAUAAACCCGUUUUCUCCUUGAGGAAGUCUCUUCCAUUCUUGGGUUAUCUAUAGUAUAAAAUCGAUUUGGAGGAAAAAAUCUUGCUGUCAUAUCUGCGGGAAUAGCUUAGUUGGGAGAGCGUCAGACUGAAGAUCUGAAGGUCGCAUUUUCGAUCCACGCUCACCGCAUUGCAAUGUUUUACAGGGUACAAUUGUCGAUGAAAAAGAGUGCCACUAUGCACCUACACGCUCGUGUUGUUGGUUGGUGGGAUUUCCAUUCGACCCGUCUUGAAACACGGAGCAAGGAGUCUAACAUGUGUGUGAGUCGGUGGGUUUGUAAACCUGUGAGGUGCAAGGAAGCUGACGGGAGAGAACCCCUCUCCAUGGGGUGCAUUGUCAACUGACCUUGAGCUUGUGUGAAGGGUUCGAGUGCGAGCACACCUGUUGGGACCUGAAAGAUGGUGAACUAUGCCUGAGCAGGGCGAAGCCAUAGGAAACUCUGGUGGAGGCCCGUAGUGAUACUGACGUGAAAAUCAAUCGUCUGACUUGGGUAUAGGGGAGAAAGACUAAUCGAACCAUCUAGUAGCUGGUUUCCUCCAAAGUUUCCCUCAGGAUAGCUGGAGCUCACGUGCGAGUUUUAUCGGGUAAAGAAAAUGAUUAGAGGCAUCGGGGGCAUAACACCCUCGACCUAUUCUCAAACUUUAAAUAGGUAAGAUGGUGCAGAUGCUCCAUUGAGUCAUGCCACGGAAUCGAGAGCUCCAAGUGGGCCAUUUUUGGUAAGCAGAACUGGCGAUGUUGAAUGAACCGAAAGUCGAGUUACGGUGCCAAACUGCGCGCUAACCCAGAUCCCACAAAGGGUGUUGGUUGAUUAAGAUAGCAGGAUGGUGGUCAUGGAAGUCGAAAUCUGCUAAGGAGUGUGUAACAACUCACCUGCUGAAUCAACAUUGUCGUCUGCCGCCAUGUCCCGGUUCGGCAAUAUUAACCCAAUUCCCUUUCGAUGUUCGUGCAGAGUGCACCCUUGAUACAGGGCUUCCCCAUCUCUUAGGAUUGACUAACCCAUGUCCAAGUGCUAUUCACAUGGAACCUUUCCCCACUUCAAUCUUCAAAGUUCUCAUUUGAAUAUUUGCUACUACCACCAAGAUCUUCACCGGGGAUAGGUCCACC
rnacentral:ncRNA from 1 species